rnacentral:lncRNA from 1 species
GCCUGUUUCAACCUUUUUUGGCCACCGUUGACCGUAUCCUUCCUUCUUUUUUCAUAAAGUUAGAUUUGGUAUUAAACAAUUAGGCCUAAUUCCAUGACACCAGCAGUUGUUAUUCUUAGCUGAAAGUCAAGAAAUGCAAUUCCCUGAUUUCACAGAUUUGUGAUUCCUGUGAAAUGGCUAUUCCAUACUUAAAAUUAAACCAAACUUUUGAAAGUGUGGUCCCAUCCAGAAUUUCAAAUCCUUUCCUUACAUUUUCCGGUGAACCAAACAUACAAUUAG